rnacentral:rRNA from 1 species
AGUGAACGCUGGCGGUAGGCCUAACACAUGCAAGUCGAACGGCAGCACAGUAAGAGCUUGCUCUUACGGGUGGCGAGUGGCGGACGGGUGAGGAAUACAUCGGAACCUACUUUUUCGUGGGAGAUAACGAAGGGAAACUUACGCCAAUACCGCAUACGACCUACGGGGGAAAGCAGUGGAUAGUCGCAGCUUGCGCGAUUGAACUCGCCGCUGUCGGAUUAGCUAGUUGGGGGGGUAAAGGCCCACCAAGGCGAGGAUCCGUAGCUGGUCUGAGAGGAUGAUCAGCCACACUGGAACUGAGACACGGUCCAGACUCCUACGGGAGGCAGCAGUGGGGAAUAGUAGACAAUGGGCGCAAGCCUUAUCCAGCCAUACCGCGUGGGUGACGAAGGCCUUCGGGUUGGAAAGCCCUUUUGUUGGGAAAGAACAGCAGCAGGUUAAUACCGCGCUGUUCCGACGGUACCCAAAGAAUAAGCACCGGCUAACUUCGUG